rnacentral:misc_RNA from 1 species
AGAAUGAAAUAUAUAACAAACAUGUUGUACCAUAUAGAGAGCACCAACACAUAGUCCCAGCUCCGCUGCAGCAGCAUUACCCCAAAAUAUAUGCACCUCAUAUACCAAAAUAGAAAGACAGAAGAAGCAACAACUGUUGCGUUCCUUUUUCACUAUGAUCCACAAAUAAACAACAAUGGAACUUGUGGACUUGCCAGCUCUGGCCCUCACUUCUAGUUUCACUCAUACUGUAGUACAUAUAAAUAAUUUCCUACCAUAUCCACCAUGCACAAACUAACAAAAUUGCCCAGAAAUGGGACUCCACCAUUCCUUGCCCAAACAGAACCGACAAUUAAGGCUAACCACUGCUCGAUGUUAGGAAGACACUAACAUGUCCAGUACAACUACGAUAUUUACCAAUAAGUAGAACAUUUUUCCCAAGUGAACUUCUCUGGCUACGCGGCAUCCUACAAUCUUUGGAAAAUAUGCUACCCAAUCCACUAACCAAACCAAAAGGAUAAGACAGCGCGAGGAGUGAGGGCUCCUCAUUGGGAAUAACACUAUAACACGUGUUGUGCACCUUAUACCUAUGUAGUUUUUUUUUAUGAAGUAUAUGUGUGUGUAGUAUUACAUAUAGGGAGGGAGUGUAUAUAAGGGAGUGUAUAUAUGUGUGUGUUGUGCACCUUAUACCUAUGUAGUUUUUUUUUAUGAAGUAUAUGUGUGUGUAGUAUUACAUAUAGGGAGGGAGUGUAUAUAAGGGAGUGUAUAUAUGUGU